GUUUUUUUUUUUUUUUUUUUUUUUUUUUUUUUUUUCUUGUC
rnacentral:ribozyme from 1 species